rnacentral:lncRNA from 1 species
GCCCAGGACCCCGGCCCUGAGAGCGGCCCGCCGCCCGGGGCGAGGGGUCGGUGCGCCUCGGCGGGCGGCCUUCGCAGGAAUGCCAAAAAUGCGCUAAUUGUGCCCUGCCGCGCCUCCGGGAUUAGGGGUAGCCGUCUUUUAGGAAACGGGAGCGUGGCUCGACCGAUAGCGAAGGGCUGCGCCCCGCGUCCCCCCGGCCCUUGGGUUCGGUGCGGCGAUCCGGCGGUUCCUGGCAUCGCCCUGCGCGCCGGGAUCUGAAGUUGGAACAAAAAGGUCCCCAUGGAAACAGGGAGUCAUCUAUCAGUACCGCGUUCGCCCGGUCCUGCCAUGUUUGUGGGGAGAGUUGGGCCGCGCCGCCCGGCCUCUCCCCAUGCGCGUGUGUGUGAGGCCUAAAACAAAGCGGCCGUGUCAAAGUGCCCCUGGUGAGAUGGAAGGGCUCCCGGCGGGCGGGAGGGCUCCCGCAUCCCGACGUUAUUUCUUCCAGGAGCAGUGGAAGCGUUUGGAUCCCUCCUUGCAAACUUUUGUGUCGCGGUAUCUCCGCUGUCAGCCUCCCGGGUUGGAGCUGCGGGGAUAUCCAGCAUUUGGAUUUUCCCCUCUUUGCCGAAGUACCUUUGUGAAGUCCUGAGCUGAGAGCGGCGGAACGGAGCAAAGCGCUCAAAAUCAGCGUUGAUAGCUUAGCGUGGGGUGUGUGGAUGCAUUGUCAGUGCCUGCGCAGAAACAGAACGGUGCUUUAAUGCAGGAAUGGAAACUAAAACGUCCCAGAAGCUCACGUGUGCACAACAACGUGGGAAGGGCUCCCCGCUAAAGGAUGUGUCACGUCUAACUGUAAAAAAAAACCUGACAGAACGAAGCACUAAGCGUGUCGUAGCACUAAGUAACCUCCUUGCAUUGGGAAGGGAUCAUUCCCUUUGGUAGUUUUCAAUAUGUAAUGUUCUCGGUCUUUUAAAGGGCUUUGUCUGGCUGCAGCAUCCGUCUGCUGUGUGAGCUGAGCAGAAAGCGACCACUUUGCUGAUGGUCUUUUUGAAUGCACGUGGUUUAUAGCUCCUAAGGUGGUGCUUGUAAAGCACCCUGCUUGCUGGGGUGGGGGUUGCUCCAGGUUAGGGGACUCACUGAGGUGCAUUUCCCAUAUAGGGGCUGUGAGGUUUUCCAAGCGCCCUCCGAAUGUACUGUGAAGUGACACGGCUCACUCUUCCCUUCUGCAGACAUUUGGAUUCUUCUCCUAUAACUGAAUCACGUGCAUGCAUACACGCCAAGAAGGUGUUUGCUUCCUUCGCUGCACUUCUCGGCACUGCAGAUAAAUCUGUUGCAUCUCAUUUGGUUUCUGAUUCAUUCAUCCCCCAGCAGCCGUGGCCGGGGAUCUCCUCUACUUCUGUUUCCUUCCAGAGUCAGAACCUUUGUUCUGAUGUCCAACCUUUUUCAUGCAGAGUAAAGCUCGGUGAGUUGUGCGGAGCUCUCUGGAGGCAGCAAGGGGAAGAAAUGACAACCAGAAGCAAACUGGAGAUGGAUGCAAGGGAUGCAUCAUUGUGGAACAGAAAAUUGGUUCUCCAAACAAACUGCUCCAAGUGAGUGGAUGGAUGGGGAGAUGUCUGACAUUAACAACAUGUAACUGCUUUCUGAAAACCCUGGGAUACCUGAAAGCCUUAAGAAGGAGUGCUGCUGCAGUUGCAAAGUGAUAGAAUGAAGUCAAUACCCAAAAUGAUGCUGCAGCCACAUCUGGAGUUUGCUUCAGGUGGAGUGCUUUAACUCUCUGAAAGGGAACGUCGCACAUCUCGGGGUCGUCUUAAAGAGAAACAGAAGAUGCAGAGGAGUACAUCCGAGAAAAGCACUUUAUUCCCUCAGCACAGAUUGACUCCCCAGGUCCCACCUGGAGCAGAACUUUCCGUGCAGUUCCCCCAGCACAGCUCUGGUACAUCCAUGCAGGAUUGGACUUACUGAGGGGUUUGCCUUCAUUUCUCCUUCUGCCCACUUUGGGGUGCCCGCAUUACCUGCAGCCACACGUCCUGCAUUGCUGCCUUGCCUCUGUUGUACCGCAUUCUGCUGAAAAAUACAUAGAAUGAAAAUGAUUUCCCACUUGUAAGGGCAGAAUAAAUAGAAAUACUUGCAGAUAAUGAUGCAGUUUUUUCCUCAGUGUCACCGAAAAACUUAACUCGGUUUUGUUUUCUCAAUCAUCCCUCUGUGUUUGCACUUCUCUGUUAAACAGCAACUGAGAACAAACCGAGAAUAAAAGUGGAGAGCGUUUUUAUUACAAAGGAUUUCACCUUUCUGUCAUUUUUGUACUAAAACAGAUCUGAAACUGCCAUCCACCUCUUCAGUUCAAUUUUUGUUUCACUGCAUUGGAGAAACUUUUAUAUAGAAAAACGAGAUGGAUAACCUUUGUUUCUCUGCAUUUUCUGUGUGUCCUCUCCUAAAUGAGACCAAUCUACACAUGGAAUGGGGAAUUACUUGUGGUCAGAAAUAAACAGCAAUGGCAUGAAGUUUGAGGCUAUUUUCCCUUCUUUUACAGCAUUGAUUGCUGUAACGCAUAACGUAACGUUUGCUGUAUACCUGAUAUGCUGUGAGGGGUCACCACAAACUGAUGUCUUUUUAAGAGCUCUUUGACAAUUUAUUAUGGACACGUUUAUUAUAACAAAAUGCAAAGGUAAAGAGCAAAAGCUGCUCUGUCUCCUGUUUACUUCUGUAGUUCAGUGGAUGUGUAAAAGCGCUGAAUUCUGCACUCAGCCUUCAGCAGGCUGCAAUUCAACUUCUGUGCAGCAACUCCAUGCAAUUGCUAUACGCUUCGAUUCUGAGACUUCCUUCCACUUUCAGUGACAUUGGGGCACUGAAAAAGUUAAAGGAACUCAUCCUUUCACAGCUCUGAGUUCUUGGUGUAUUUCUGCCGGGUGGGUAAAGUCCUGAAAUCCGGAGAUAAGUGCUCCAACUGACCCUGAAAUCUGGAUAGAAGUCGUCUCCCUGACAAUGCAGCUACUUGCAUGAGCAAACGACCCAAGUUGUGUGCGCAGGGUAGGGCCCCAUGCAAUAUAGAAAUGCUAUGUUGAAAAUGCUUCCCACAUUAGCUACCUCAGUAAUAGCUUUUGAAUCUUUUUUCACGCCAAUACCUAUUGUGUCAAGAUGGAGG